rnacentral:rRNA from 1 species
UACGAAGGGGGGCUAGCGUUGUUCGGAAUUACUGGGCGUAAAGCGCGCGCAGGCGGCUAUCCAAGUCAGUGGUGAAAGCCCGGAGCUCAACUCCGGAACUGCCAUUGAAACUGUUUAGCUUGAGGAUGAGAGAGGUGAGUGGAAUUCCCAGUGUAGAGGUGAAUUCGUAGAUAUUGGGAAGAACACCGGUGGCGAAGGCGGCGACCUGGUCCGAUACUGACGCUGAGGCGCGAAGCGUGGGGAGCAAACAGG